UACGGGGGGAGCAAGCGUUGUUCGGAUUUACUGGGCGUAAAGGGCGCGUAGGCGGCGCCGCAAGUCACUUGUGAAAUCUCCGGGCUCAACUCGGAACGGUCAAGUGAUACUGCGGUGCUAGAGUGCGGAAGGGGCAACUGGAAUUCUUGGUGUAGCGGUGAAAUGCGUAGAUAUCAAGAGGAACACCUGCGGCGAAGGCGGGUUGCUGGGCCGACACUGACGCUGAGGCGCGAAAGCGUGGGGAGCGAACAGG
rnacentral:rRNA from 1 species